CUUGAGUUUUCACCAGAGCCUGUCGCAGGGUUGCCAGGAAGCCAGUGGCCGACUUCAGAGUCACACAGUGUUACCCUUGGCCCUACGUGGUUAUCACCAAAAUGAGGUUUCAAACACACUGUCCUGUUGGGGUUUCUUAUGAGGAAUUGGCUCACAUGAUUAUGGAAGCUGAGAAGUCCUAAGAUCUGCUGUCUGAAAGCUGGAGACCCAGGAAAGCCAGUGGUGAAGUCCAAUCUGAAUCCCCGAAGGCCUGAGGGCCAGAGGAGUGCAUGGUGUAAACCCCUGUCCAAGGGCAGGAGGAGACAGAUGUUCCAGCUCAAGCAGUCAGCUUCCAGGUGAUGCUGUUGAGCUUCAGACCACACUUUGAGUAGCAAGGCUCUAGAACAGCGAUUCUCAAACAGAUGAUUUUGGCCUCCAGGGGACACUUGGCAACGUUGUGGAGACAUCUUUGACUGUUACAGCUGGGGUGGUGCUACUGCGUGGAGACCAGAGACGCUGCUAAACGUCUUACUAUGCACAGGACGGCCCUCAGAACAAAGAAGGAUCUUGCCCCAAAGGUCCACAGUGCCAAGGCUGAGAACCCUGCUCUAGAACGAUCUUAAAAUUUGCCGUGCGCAUCUGUUCUCCGGGCCCUAUGGAUCUGGCCAGAAGGAUCUUGAAGGGGAUGGGCCUGGCGGUGCUCCUGGGCAUCCCCGCUGCUUGCCUUUGGGGAUUGGGCAGCUCCUGCUCCUGUAGGACUGCGCGUGCGUCUAGGACUCAGGUCCUAGAAGGAUGAACUUGGUGUGCAAACUGGAGGGCUCAGGUACGAAGUCUCAGGUAUAUCUAACCAAAGCUUUUACACAUGCAAGUGUUUAAUUUCCAUUAUACCUGGGACCCCAUUAUUCCUGAUAGG